AAGAAGAGAAAGAGGAGGAGGAGGAGGAGGAGGAGAAGUUGGAGGGUUGACCAUUUCGGGAGUGUCGGCGCACGGCUGAUCGAUGCAACAGCAGCGCCGCUACGAGGCGUAUGGUAGGAGGGAAAGGGCAGAGGGUAAGCCUCCCUUCCACCCUGUGUCGGCCUUCUCUCCGGCAUAUCCCUCCCUCUCGGACCGUUGCACGCGUACUAACCGAGCGGCGCGCGUUCGGCUUCUCCGCUCCAGCCAUCCCCCUCCAACCUUUGCGUCGCUCCUCCACCACCACCGCCGCCAAUUUUCAGAUAGGGGUUGCUUCGACGCGACGCGACGCGACGCGGACCACCGAUGCGCCCUCUCGCUCUCCUCCUCCUCCUCUCCGUCCUUUCGCUCCUUUCUCCCUUUCGUGCCUUCCUCUCGCUCUUUCUCCCCCUCGCGCUCCCUCCCUCGCAGCCUCAGUUCUCGCCUGAAGACCGUGCGGUGUACAGGUGAUCCGGCUCGUGCGUAUUCACCCUCUCCGCGCUCGAGUUUGUUCGCCCGCCGUUGCUCGGGNGUGCUGCCGCGUUGCCACGAGGAGGACGCACGCUCUGUCCUGCCGCGUCGUCGACGAGCUGUAGAGACGAGUGACGAUGUAGCGUCGAACGAUAUUCGCGACGGUGGGACCGCGAGCUACGUGUUCCCUGCGUGCAGAGACGACGAGGAUGUCGGAGGCACGUGGCCGGGAUUGGUGAGAGAAGCGAACGAUAACCGAGGAAUCGAGGGGUGAAAACAGAAGCGGGUCCAAGUUCGAAGCGAUCGGCGUUCGAGCUUGGUGAAAGGAGGAGGAGGAGGGGGGGCGACAGGUUAAAGGGACAGGAAGGAGGGGGGUGGUCCGCAAGGGCCACGGCCAUGGGGGAGGCAGCAUGUUCUCCGAGCUGUGCAGGGAGACUUUGCGGAAGGCAGCUGUGUGCUACAGUUCUGGUCGUGCAGGAAGUCCAUCACCAUCGCCACCAACGUCUCCGCCGCCAUCUCCCGCC